GACGAACGCUGGCGGCGUGCUUAACACAUGCAAGUCGAACGAAGUGGCGAACGGGUGAGUAACGCGUAAUCAACCUGCCCUUCAGGGGGGGACAACAGUUGGAAACGACUGCUAAUACCGCAUACUGAAGGAGGGGAGUGCGUUUGAUUAGCUAGUUGGCGGGGUAACGGGCCAACAAGGCGAUGAUCAGUAGCCGGGUUGAGAGGAUGAACGGCCACAUUGGGACUGAGAAACGGCCCAGACUCCUACGGGAGGCAGGAGUGGGGAAUCUUCCGCAAUGGAGGAAAGUCUGACUGAGCAACGCCGCGUGAGUGAUGACGGCCUUCGGGUUGUAAAGCUCUGUUAAUCGGGACGCGUUACCGGAAGAGAAAGCCACGGCUAACUACGUGCCAGCAGCCGCGGUAAUUC
rnacentral:rRNA from 1 species